AUGAACACUUACAAGUGCAUGAAGGCAGGAGUUAAAAAUUGUACCGAGAGUGGAGAAAGUGGCCCCAUCAACAACACUAAGGUCAACGAGCGUCUUAACACAUAUUACACAGCUCUGAAAGCAGCAGAUCCACUACAUUGGAAGGACCGUGAUCUCGAUCCAGAAAUCAUGUACUCCUCCAUUGGUGGCAUGCCCCAUGGGCGACUAGCAAUAGGUGAUGGUGCUAUAAAGAAAGCAGUGGUCGUUGCAAAAGCUAGAGAGAAUGACACAAGGCCAUCAAACUCCAUAUCAUACCAUUGUUUAUUGAAGGAAAAUGCUCAACUUAAAAGGCGCUGCAAGAAUAAUUUUGUUCUGAGCAAACAUGUACCGGUAUUGCUCAUCUUUUACACAAAUUUGCUUUGA
rnacentral:rRNA from 1 species